CCUACGGGUGGCAGCAGUGAGGAAUAUUGGUCAAUGGACGGAAGUCUGAACCAGCCAUGCCGCGUGCAGGAAGACGGCCCUAUGAGUUGUAAACUGCUUUUGUACAAGGGAAAACCUGAAUACGUGUAUUCAGCUGUAUGUACUGUACGAAUAAGGAUCGGCUAACUCCGUGCCAGCAGCCGCGGUAAUACGGAGGAUCCAAGCGUUAUCCGGAUUUAUUGGGUUUAAAGGGUGCGUAGGCGGCUUGAUAAGUUAGAGGUGAAAUGUCCGGGCUUAACCCGGGAACUGCAUUUGAUACUGGUUGGCUAGAGUGCAGAUGAGGUAGGCGGAAUGUAAGGUGUAGCGGUGAAAUGCUUAGAGAUCAUGAAGAACACCGAUUGCGAAGGCAGCUUACUAAUCUGUAACUGACGUUGAGGCACGAAAGCGUGGGGAGCAAACAGGAUUAGAUACCCCUGUAGUC
rnacentral:rRNA from 1 species